CAGUCGCCACGGUAAUACGAAGGGUGCAAGCGUUACUCGGAAUUACUGGGCGUAAAGCGUGUGUAGGUGGUUGUUUAAGUCUGUCGUGAAAGCCCUGGGCUCAACCUAGGAAUUGCGAUGGAUACUGGGCGACUAGAGUGCGGUAGAGGAUAGUGGAAUUUCCGGUGUAGCAGUGAAAUGCGUAGAGAUCGGAAGGAACAUCUGUGGCGAAGGCGACUAUCUGGGCCAACACUGACACUGAGACACGAAAGCGUGGGGAGCAAACAGGAUUAGAUACCCCCGUAGUCCCUGUCUCUUAUAC
rnacentral:rRNA from 1 species